rnacentral:misc_RNA from 1 species
AAUUCUCAACUCUCCUCAGAUUUCAUCUGUAUGGGUGAGCUUGGACUUGGAGGUCUUCUGCUGGCGUUCACCAGCUCCUCUUGAAAUCAUUAGCCUUGAGUUGAUCUUGAUGGCUUGACCGGUGUGAUAAACAUCUACGCCGAUUCAUGCUGUCCUGAGCGACGACGUCGGAGACGCUCUGGCUUAUAACCGUCCAUCAACGGACGACGCUCUGAAC